AAAUUGAAGAGUUUGAUCAUGGCUCAGAUUGAACGCUGGCGGCAGGCCUAACACAUGCAAGUCGAACGGUAACAGGAAACAGCUUGCUGUUUCGCUGACGAGUGGCGGACGGGUGAGUAAUGUCUGGGAAACUGCCUGAUGGAGGGGGAUAACUACUGGAAACGGUAGCUAAUACCGCAUAACGUCGCAAGACCAAAGAGGGGGACCUUCGGGCCUCUUGCCAUCGGAUGUGCCCAGAUGGGAUUAGCUAGUAGGUGGGGUAACGGCUCACCUAGGCGACGAUCCCUAGCUGGUCUGAGAGGAUAACCAGCCACACUGGAACUGAGACACGGUCCAGACUCCUACGGGAGGCAGCAGUGGGGAAUAUUGCACAAUGGGCGCAAGCCUGAUGCAGCCAUGCCGCGUGUAUGAAGAAGGCCUUCGGGUUGUAAA
rnacentral:rRNA from 1 species